CCUACGGGAGACAGCAGUCGAGAAUCAUUCACAAUGGGGGAAACCCUGAUGGUGCGACGCCGCGUGGGGGAAUGAAGUUCUUCGGAUUGUAAACCCCUGUCAUGUGGGAGCAAAUUAAAAAGAUAGUACCACAAUAGGCAGAGCCGGCUAACUCUGUGCCAGCAGCCGCGGUAAUACAGAGGUCUCAAGCGUUGUUCGGAAUCACUGGGCGUAAGGCGUGCGUAGGCUGUUUCGUAAGUCGUGUGUGAAAGGCGCGGGCUCAACCCGCGGACGGCACAUGAUACUGCGAGACUAGAGUAAUGGAGGGGGAACCGGAAGUCUCGGUGUAGCAGUGAAAUGCGUAGAUAUCGAGAGGAACACUCGUGGCGAAGGCGGGUUCCUGGACAUUAACUGACGCUGAGGCACGAAGGCCAGGGGAGCGAAAGGGAUUAGAUACCCGGGUAGUC
rnacentral:rRNA from 1 species